GCCGGGCGUGGUGGCGCGUGCCUGUAGUCCCAGCUACUCGGGAGGCUGAGGCAGGAGAAUCACUUGAACUCGGGAGGUGGAGGUUGCAGUGAGCCGAGAUCGCGCCACUGCACUCCAGCCUGGCCACAGAGCCGGGACUCCAUCUCAAAAAAAAAAAAAAAAACAAGCAGGAGUGCAGGGGCGUGAUCUUGGCUCACUGCAACUUCCGCCUCCCGGGUUCAAGCGAUUCUCCUGCCUCAG
ensembl:misc_RNA Metazoa_SRP Metazoan signal recognition particle RNA